rnacentral:rRNA from 1 species
GCAUGCGAGUGCGGGAAAGUUCCGGCGGUAUGGGAUGGGGUCGCGUCCUAUCAGCUUGACGGCGGGGUAACGGCCCACCGUGGCUUCGACGGGUAGCCGGCCUGAGAGGGCGACCGGCCACAUUGGGACUGAGAUACGGCCCAGACUCCUACGGGAGGCAGCAGUGGGGAAUAUUGCACAAUGGGCGAAAGCCUGAUGCAGCGACGCCGCGUGAGGGAUGGAGGCCUUCGGGUUGUAAACCUCUUUUAUCGGGGAGCAAGCGUGAGUGAGUUUACCCGUUGAAUAAGCACCGGCUAACUACGUGCCAGCAGCCGCGGUAAUACGUAGGGUGCAAGCGUUAUCCGGAUUUAUUGGGCGUAAAGGGCUCGUAGGCGGUUCGUCGCGUCUGGUGUGAAAGUCCAUCGCUUAACGGUGGAUCUGCGCCGGGUACGGGCGGGCUGGAGUGCGGCAGGGGAGACUGGAAUUCCCGGUGUAACGGUGGAAUGUGUAGAUAUCGGGAAGAACACCAAUGGCGAAGGCAGGUCUCUGGGCCGUUACUGACGCUGAGGAGCGAAAGCGUGGGGAGCGAACAGGAUUAGAUACCCUGGUAGUCCACGCCGUAAACGGUGGACGCUGGAUGUGGGGCCCUUUCCACGGGUUCCGUGUCGGAGCUAACGCGUUAAGCGUCCCGCCUGGGGAGUACGGCCGCAAGGCUAAAACUCAAAGAAAUUGACGGGGGCCCGCACAAGCGGCGGAGCAUGCGGAUUAAUUCGAUGCAACGCGAAGAACCUUACCUGGGCUUGACAUGUUCCCGACGACCGCAGAGAUGUGGUUUCCCUUCGGGGCGGGUUCACAGGUGGUGCAUGGUCGUCGUCAGCUCGUGUCGUGAGAUGUUGGGUUAAGUCCCGCAACGAGCGCAACCCUCGCCCCGUGUUGCCAGCAUGUAAUGAUGGGAACUCACGGGGGACCGCCGGGGUUAACUCGGAGGAAGGUGGGGAUGACGUCAGAUCAUCAUGCCCCUUACGUCCAGGGCUUCACGCAUGCUACAAUGGCCGGUACAGCGGGAUGCGACAUGGCGACAUGGAGCGGAUCCCUGAAAACCGGUCUCAGUUCGGAUUGGAGUCUGCAACCCGACUCCAUGAAGGCGGAGUCGCUAGUAAUCGCGGAUCAGCAACGCCGCGGUGAAUGCGNUNCCNGGCCUUGUACACACCGNCCGUCAAGUCANGAAAGUNGGCAGCA